rnacentral:sRNA from 1 species
CUCCCCCGGACCUUGUAAAAUUUCUAAUCAAGAGACUCAGUGAGUCAGUCAGCCCACCACGUGACUCCUGCAGAAGAUUCAGCCCAUUGAAGCGAGUGGGAGCUGAGCGGGCCACCACUCAGCCCUACUUCUUCACACCCAGCACCUACCCUGGGGUUACACUACAAGCAGUUUCUGCGAACUCCCUCUGAGGUCGGAAAGAUACACAGCCCUCCCUCCUGGGUACCGCUUAUUCCCUUCCCCACUUCCUUAUUAAUGACAGGCACAUCCCUGGAGCCACCAGCUCAGCUCCGCCUCCCUUCCAGCGCAGCCUCUGAUUGGACCUCUGUCUGGCUCCUCCCACUUCUUCCCCAGACCAGCCUCUGGCAUUAGCUUGCCCUCACCCUCCUUGAAGGUCGGGUGCUCCACUACUGGAGGUAGAAGGGUGGAAUUGCGCUUGUUUUGCCCUACUUCAAAUACUUUUUGGGGGGCUGCGUGAGACUAUGAAGAAAUACUGGGGGAGUAGGCCAUGGGCCUUUCUAGCUUGAGACCCGGGCCUGCAGCUCGGACCCUCUGAGAACCUCAUGAAAGCAUUCCAGGAUGUAAUAAACCCGUCAAGCCUCGGCUAAUUUAUAUGGAAGCAGAUGAUUUCCCAUUUUUUAGAAUGUAAAUGUUUACAUUGUAGCAUUCCCCUGCCCCCGGCAUCCGGGGCCCUGGCACGUCAGUGAUGGAAUCAGCCGCUUCUCCUCGGGGAUCCUUAGAUGGAAGCGUCACGAUGCCAAGAAGCGUCCCGCUUUCAGCCAGCCCGGGUGUGCAAACCCCGCACCAAGGAAGGCCACCAAGCGUUUGCUUAAUGUUACCAAGUUCCACGUGGCUCUUACAGAGGAGAAGUAGCACUUUUAAGGGUAAGCCUCAGAACAGAGGGUGCAAUUCUGACUAUGUAGCUUCCCAAGGUCUCUUUGCUACACUUCUCUCCUCUAAGACAGUCAAUUCCUUACGAGCUCUAAUGUAUUAGCUUUAUAUGGGAGUUUUGUGUUGUAGAAAUAGUGACUAGCAUAGAUGGGUGGGAAACCUUGACAACAAUCCAAGGAAAUUAUGCUUUAGCUCAUAGACCCCCUGAGUGCCCUACUACCCCUCUGUGUGCAGGUCUGCUUGAGGCUAAGAACCCUGCCCUUUAACACUCUGGGUGUCUGUGAACAAGUGCAACUCCUAGAAAAGGGUUCGCCACUUGGUCAUAAGCCCCAGAAACUACAAAGGUCUCCUUGGAUCCCUGUGAGAGCAAAGAGCCACUGCGAUUCGUGCCACUGGUCACCCAGGCACGCCUGGGGUUCUGGUGCCUGCUCCAUUAGACAAGCGCAUGUUCUGUUCAAUAGGAGCCAUAUAUGCUACCUGGACCUUUAGCUUCCUCACUGGCCAAGUGAGGAAGUAUGUCUGACCCUCCCCACCUCUAACAAAUAGUGAGGGAGAAGUAAAAGCCCUUCCCCCACCCAGGAGUGGGAAAAGAUACAGCACCUUGGAACCCUGGUCCUUCGGUUACUACCAUGCCGGACUGUGUGUCCUUGGGUAAGUGACUCACCUCUCUGUGCUCCGUGUUCUUUAAGAUGACGAGAUACUAAACUAUAGUAGCAAUCUCCUAGCUACUAAUAAUUGCCAGGUGCUGAGUUUUUCACUCCCUGGUCUACAGAGCAGUCAGUGAGGGUAUCUGAGACUGGACCAUCUGCCUGGCAAACAAUGCUUGCCGGCUGGCUGGUGGCAGACAGUGCUCAAGGACUGGAGAAGGCGGGUGUGACCCAGGGGCAUUCUUGCACUCAAGAGAUCCUGUGCCUCACCCCGCCCCCCAUCAGAUCAAUGGAUCAACUGUAACUGUGAUGUACCUGACCACCGUUCUCCAUACCUGCUCUCAGAAUCCAUGGCAAAAACAGGGGUCAGCCCCCUCUCCAGCUGAACUAGGUCACCUGAGGACACAGUUUCCAGGGAAAACAUCUGAGUGAGCCUCUCCAGUCCAUCUCAGCCUUGCUGGGGUCUAAAGCUCAUGGCAGCCCGAGACCCCAUAGCCACCAGUGCAGAAGACCAAGCCCACUGUCUCCAUCAACCUGAAGCCUGUCCAGAGCUCAGCAGGUAGCCCUCCUCCUGCUUCUAAGAACCAAGCGUCAUUCGGUCAGCUUAGAGCCAUUUCUCUUCCUCCAGGGAAAUGCAAUCGACUAAGGGCCCUUCCCUACUCCACCCCCAGGUCUCCCCAGCCUUGUAACCUGAGUGCCCCCCAAACACUUUCUGGCAGUUUCUGCUCCAGCCAGCUCUAGACCUGCUAGAGAUUCUCUUGUUUUUAUCCUAGUGACUGUGAGUGGCAUCUCUGGCCCCAGCCUUGGUGGGAUUUAAUGAGCUAGGCUACAUCACAGUGCCCACCGAAGCCACUGAAACCUCCCUUCUACCUAGGAUGACGCCACAUCCUGCCUUUUCCCAAGCAGCUCCUGGCCUUGCCUACCCAGGCUCUCCCUCCUCUCUGGUACAGCCUGCUCAAAGAAGGGCCAAGAAGUACAGCCUUCACAGGGCUCUCAACGAACCCCUGGGUGGAAGGCAGAAUGGAAUCCUCUUUGGACCUGUGUCCACGUUAUGGGUCAUAAAGGCCUUUAUGUGCCUAUAAAGCAGAAUUCCUGCAAAGCCUUUCCAUUCCAACAUGCUACCUGCAGUAAACUGCCGCUGUACACACACAGCCCUCAUGACCGACAGGGUCUACACACGUGCACGCCACCAGUGUCACCUGCAUCCACCUGGCUAGGAAGGGCUGCCAGGGGGCAGGGGAGUCUUAGUCCCAGCCCUGGCACCUGAUCUGGGUCUGUUGCCCCAUCUCAGUGAGUAAGAUUUCCUGCCUGGAGCCCCACCAUAACCACAGCUCAGACAUCAAACUAGCGUAAAACUCACUUUCCACUUUAUCUAUCCAUUCAGUGUCGGGUCAUUCGCUGAAGCACAGGUCAGUGGAACCUUGGUUGGCAAGCCCAUGCUCUCCCUGUGUGUCUGUCCUCGAGAGACAAUAAGAAACAUGUGGGAAGAUAGCUGGCAGUUAGGAUGAGGAAGUGAAAUGUGUCAGAGCUGCAUACAGGAGCCAUGAUGGUCUGGGAGGGAGAGCAUAUGAAUAAGCAUUCCCUCAGGGGGAGGAAGCCCCUCUGUAGCUGUGUUUUCAUGUGCUGUGUGGGCAGGGGAACCUUGAAUCACAGCAUGGUGAGCCCCACUCGGGUAGGAGGUGCCUGCUAGCCCCAAAAGCUCAUCUGCCCUGUGGGAAGGAUGGAAUCCUUGGAGCCUUACUAAUACUGCUUUGUCAUGUCUCCUAGAGACAAGUCACAUGCCAACUCCUACAGCUGGGUCCCUGUGUCCCCCUCCUCAGGGUGAGUCUCCUGACCCUAACUUCCCAUCGACAGCAGUCUGGAAGCCCAAAUCCUACUCAAUGACCAGCACACAGUAGGUACUUAAGAUCAGCAGAGAAGUAACAAGGAAUCCGCUAGUUCAGCCUCCAAAGCAGAGCCUCCAUGUGUAGGGGCAGAAGAAAGGGACCUCAUUUUUUGUCCUUUGUGCAAAUUAACAAUGAUGGCUCUACAGGGCAAGAGACAUUGCUUAUGACAACUGAGGCUCAACUUCAAGCUCACCCCCCACAAGAGAGCACCUGGACGCCUCUCCGAAGAGCAACAAAUACACUUUGGAGAGUGCCGGGGAUUGCCAGGAGCGCCAACUACAUUUCCAGCCUGACACCCAGCUGCAACAAAGCAGAUUCCUUUCUUCCCUUCUCUCGAAAAGCCUAAUCCAGAUAAGCCGGACCGACAAUGGCUGCCUGGCCACGAAAGACUUCCCUUUCCCGGGUGAUGGGACUCACACCUGGUGACAUCAGCCUGGCACAGUUCUAAGUGUAGGGGUGGCCAAACACCAGCUCCCAAUGCUUCCGCACCCAAAGCCCCAGCUUCAGCCAAGAGCGACUGCCCUUCCCCUUCCCCCCACAUUGCCAGUCUAGGACUAACCUACCCAGCAACAUCAGGACAGCAGGACAAUUCCGAAGGGAUGUGACCCCUGCCAUCAGAUGACUGAGAACAGAUGGCAAACCCUGUGACUCUCCUAAGACCCUAACCUCACGUGGACAGGCUGAACUACUUGUCGCCAUCUUGAGAUCACUGCCCAGAGACCCUCUUUUCAUGUCUUCCUCCAGGGAGCUGGCUCUAGUCUGUGUUUGGAGAAAGAGGGGGACAGGCAGCCUGUCAGGAAUACCUUUCCACACAGGUGAAUCUUUCCACACGGUCGCACCAGGAUUCGGGUGACCUCAAAUGCAAACCUUAAAUGGCUCCCAUACCUCAAUAGCCUUCAUCUCUGCGUGUCUGACAUAGGCAGCGUACUUCAGAAACUAUGGCUCCAAAGGCAAGCUAAGAGGGACAGAGAUCCCAGGUGGGCAGGGACGGGAGCCGGUGUCAGUCGUCAAGAGCACCAUUCUGCCAUCAGACCCACAGCUUCCACCCCGCCACCACCAACUGCUGUACUGACCGCUGUUGCUGCAAAAGCACCACAAGUCCCUGGGACCCAAGGUACUGACCCUGAAGUGACGCCUGAGUGACAGUAGCUCCUUGUCCAAGCCCCUUGACUGCUACGUUAAGGUAUGUGGUCAGUGGAGGAAAGAAGAAAGAUGCUUCCCCAGGGCAGGGGAGUAAAUAGCCAAAGGCCAUGUUGUCCAUGAGGUACAGUCUGCCCGAGCCAGCAGACUUGAAUGGAGAUUGAAUUUGGAGAACACGGCAGGAAGCAGGGGUCUGUGACUAUCGGGGUGAUUGCCGCUGUACUUUGCUUUGUCUUUAGCCAUGGAAGCUUCUGGAUAGAAAAACCAAACCCAGAAUUGUCACCGAGAGACAGAGUUAGCUGAGGCAACUGUAACAGUAAAGACAGAAGCGUUGGAAGAGUAUAGAGUGGUCAGGCAGAAGGCUCGAGGGGCAGGCCAAAGCUGCCCAUGGUUGAGGGAUGAGAUGGAGGGGAAGGGAGUGGUCUGGAGAGAAGAGACGGACCUUAACGAGGCUCGCGGCGGCAGGGGAGCAGGUCCAAGCACCAGACUGGGAUGCCCGGGAGAUUCCUAUCUCAGAGCACUUCAGCCUAGGAAGCUAUGGACCACAAGGAUGUCUAGAGCUCCCUACUCAGCAUGGAGUAUGUUUCACAGCAGAUAUUCUUCUACAGGUGCCAAGGUCAGGAGAAGACUGAGAGACACUGUGACAUGUCUCUUCCUCCUCCAAAUGCCUACCAGACCAAGCAUGGACAAGUGCACACCACACACACCUACC